UGAUCAGUUAAAUGACACGUGUCAGAGCAAGUAAAAUUACAUUGACAACUUACAAAGUGAAAUGUAAACAUUGAAACGUUACGAGUAAAAUAGACAUUGCAGCUGCCAAACUAUCAGCUCAGUAGCUCUGAAAAAAGUGUUUUUGACAAAAGAAAGUUGAGAAGGAGAUUUUGGCUAUCAGUGGGUUCUUUCUCUUUUUGGGGUUGGAAUUUAAAUUUCAAACACAAGAUUUGAAUGAGCAUUCCAAAUCAGAAUUGAGUGAAUAAAUUUAAACUUAGGGUUUUAUAAUUUAAAUCUUCCAAGUUCCAUGCUUGAUUUUCCGUCUCUCUCUCUCUCUCCGCUUCUUUCUUUCUACUUCGGCUCUCUCUCUCUCUAAAAGAAAAAAAAACAAGAUCACCGGUGAUGGAAACAGUAACUGGCAUAGAAGAUAUAGAAUGGGCGUGCUCAGUGUUGUGGGUUAGGAGAGCGUAAAAAGAAGACGAUGACAGAGUCUCCGAAUCUGUUUCCGACGAGUAGUAAAGAUGACGAACAAUAAAUUAGAGGUGGCGGUGGCUGUUGAUGCAGCUGGAAGGAGAAAGAAUAGUCACACGGUGACUGGUGCUACUACCGUAAGAGAAGAAGGAACAGCUGGCAACAAGUUGAUGACUUCAGUCAAAAGAAUGUAGAGCUUCGGUCGUCGGUGGUGCAAGAGGUAAUUUUUCUUCUUUAAAAACAGAUAGUUAUUUUCUUUUUAAAAAAAGUUACAGAAAAUGCCAUUAGAGUUUGAGAUGCAAUCAGAGGAAACGCCGGAGCUCCUGUGCAAUGUUUCGAAAUUCCAUGAGGUAAGUCAGAAAAAGCAAGAAGCCCCCAAUAAGGCCAAUCAAGUGGUACCCUCAUUUGAAUUGGAUAGGUGGAUUGUCAAGGUUUUGGGACUUGGUUCAAAGGUGGACUGUCUUCAGUUUCAUUAUACGGUAUCCCGAUGAUAAGGAUGCUGAGGUUGCUGGCAGCACCGCUGGUCAUGGCGGUUAAGGAUAGUAUGGCCAUGGGAUGAUAAAGUCAGUUCUAUAUGAACAUAAAAAGAGGUUGAUUUUGGCAUCGUUAACAAGAUCAAGGUCCUACAACUUCGUGAAUUAGCCGCACGCUACUCUUUAUUAUUCUCAAAGAACAAUGAAAGGUGGCUUUUUGAUUGGGAAAGCCUCAGGAGUAUCAGAAACUGCACAAGGCACUGAAGAAGUAGCUUCAAAUUUUUGGGAUUCAUUUGGUGUUUAUUUUCAUUUGCUCCCCGUAUUGGCACCGUCUACCUCUGCCGCCUGCCGCCUCAGAUGAUUUCCUCUCUGUCGAAUACAAGAACUACAAUAGCAAUGCCAAAGUACAAGAACUGCCAGCAUAGGAUAGCCUGGUCCGACUCGCAGAAAGUACUACCCUUAACCUUACACAGCUCGCACUUCUUCAUCAUAUCUACCUUCACUGUUUUGAACCGUGUUCAUCAUGCCUCAGUCUCAAAGAAGAUACAUUCAGAGAAGAAGAAAGCUAGGGGCCUUCCACGAAAUGCAGGCCAAGGUUGAACAAGAGAUGGACGGUGUUUAAGGGUGGGAGAAUCCAUGCUUCCAUUCCAAGAACAGUUGCUAAUAGAAAAUGGAGGAGUGUCAUUGAGGCCUUUCAGGUAUACAUUAUGUAAAAUUUUGUGGUGUUGAAAAAUACUACCUAGACCAAGACAUAUCUUAGCAAGAGGUUACUCAUGUUCUCAUACAGAACAUGUGUUAAUCAUGUGGAAGAUCCUUCUUUCCCACUUGAAGCUUUCUAUUUCAAGACCAUUCCUCAAUUGGUCACUGCGCAGAAGAUCGAUGAGAAUGAUAUUGUUGGUUAGAUUCUACCUACAUUUUCUUUUAAAUAAAUGUCAUAUCAUUCUAUUUAACUUGCUGCAUGGUUAAUAACUUGAUUUUUUAUGUUUUCAUUAGAUCUUAUUGUCGAGAUUGUUGGAAAGUCCGAUCCUAGGAACUUAGUCACCAGCAAAGAAAUGGAGACAAAACGUUUUGUUCUAGAACUAGAAGAUUCAGAAUGUGUUCCCUGUUAUUUGUUUAAGUUGACAUGUACAUUAAUUUUUUUUAUUCAAGAGGAUAACCGAUGCUGUUGUUGUUUGGCUAUAACAGGAACAACCGUAUUCACUGCAUUUUAUUCGGUGAAAUGGUUAACCAAAUCUUACCACAUCUUCAACAUGAGAGGGUAGAGCCAUUCAUUGUGGUGUUUCAGUUAUUUAAGACACAUAGGUAGAAUAGUAUGCCUUAAAUAAAGCCUGUGUUUAUACAAUACCUGAAAUUAUUACACACUAAAAUUAAAAUAUCAUUUAUACGUAGUCCAAACAUCUAUUCAGAGCAACUUCAACGUGUCAAAGCUGCACAUUAACCCGAAAUUAAAGGAAGUGGUUUUGUUUAGAGAUAGGUUGUUAAAUGGUGCACCAUCAAACUCUGUGAGGAUUAGUCAAAUGUAUUCACAAGGAAGGCACGGUUUGG